UGGGGAAUUUUGGACAAUGGGGGAAACCCUGAUCCAGCCAUCCCGCGUGUGCGAUGAAGGCCUUCGGGUUGUAAAGCACCUUUGGCAGGAAAGAAACGUCAUGGGUUAAUACCCCGUGAAACUGACGGUACCUGCAGAAUAAGCACCGGCUAACUACGUGCCAGCAGCCGCGGUAAUACGUAGGGUGCAAGCGUUAAUCGGAAUUACCGGGCGUAAAGCGUGCGCAGGCGGUUCGGAAAGAAAGAUGUGAAAUCCCAGAGCUCAACUUUGGAACUGCAUUUUUAACUACCGGGCUAGAGUGUGUCAGAGGGAGGUGGAAUUCCGCGUGUAGCAGUGAAAUGCGUAGAUAUGCGGAGGAACACCGAUGGCGAAGGCAGCCUCCUGGGAUAACACUGACGCUCAUGCACGAAAGCGUGGGGAGCAAACAGG
rnacentral:rRNA from 1 species